rnacentral:rRNA from 1 species
AGAGUUUGAUCCUGGCUCAGGACGAACGCUGGCGGCGCGCCUAACACAUGCAAGUCGAACGGUGAAGAGGAGCUUGCUCCUCGGAACAGUGGCGGACGGGUGAGUAACACGUGAGCAACUUGGCUCUAAGAGGGGGACAACAGUUGGAAACGACUGCUAAUACCGCAUAACGUAUCGGGAUGGCAUCUUCCUGAUACCAAAGAUUUUAUCGCUUAGAGAUGGGCUCGCGUCUGAUUAGAUAGUUGGCGGGGUAACGGCCCACCAAGUCGACGAUCAGUAGCCGGACUGAGAGGUUGAACGGCCACAUUGGGACUGAGACACGGCCCAGACUCCUACGGGAGGCAGCAGUGGGGGAUAUUGCACAAUGGGGGAAACCCUGAUGCAGCGACGCCGCGUGGAGGAAGAAGGUUUUCGGAUUGUAAACUCCUGUCGUUAGGGACGAUAAUGACGGUACCUAACAAGAAAGCACCGGCUAACUACGUGCCAGCAGCCGCGGUAAAACGUAGGGUGCAAGCGUUGUCCGGAAUUACUGGGUGUAAAGGGAGCGCAGGCGGACCGGCAAGUUGGAAGUGAAAACUAUGGGCUCAACCCAUAAAUUGCUUUCAAAACUGCUGGCCUUGAGUAGUGCAGAGGUAGGUGGAAUUCCCGGUGUAGCGGUGGAAUGCGUAGAUAUCGGGAGGAACACCAGUGGCGAAGGCGACCUACUGGGCACCAACUGACGCUGAGGCUCGAAAGCAUGGGUAGCAAACAGGAUUAGAUACCCUGGUAGUCCAUGCCGUAAACGAUGAUUACUAGGUGUUGGAGGAUUGACCCCUUCAGUGCCGCAGUUAACACAAUAAGUAAUCCACCUGGGGAGUACGACCGCAAGGUUGAAACUCAAAGGAAUUGACGGGGGCCCGCACAAGCAGUGGAGUAUGUGGUUUAAUUCGAAGCAACGCGAAGAACCUUACCAGGUCUUGACAUCCGACUAACGAGAUAGAGAUAUGUCAGGUGCCCUUCGGGGAAAGUCGAGACAGGUGGUGCAUGGUUGUCGUCAGCUCGUGUCGUGAGAUGUUGGGUUAAGUCCCGCAACGAGCGCAACCCUUAUCAUUAGUUGCUAACAUUAAGUUGAGCACUCUAAUGAGACUGCCAGCGACAAGUUGGAGGAAGGUGGGGAUGACGUCAAAUCAUCAUGCCCCUUAUGGCCUGGGCUACACACGUGCUACAAUGGCCGGUACAAAGAGCAGCGAAAUUGUGAAAUGGAGCAAAUCUCAAAAAGCCGGUCUCAGUUCGGAUUGUAGUCUGCAACUCGACUACAUGAAGUUGGAAUCGCUAGUAAUCGUGGAUCAGCAUGCCACGGUGAAUACGUUCUCGAGUCUUGUACACACCGCCCGUCACACCAUGAGAGUUUGUAAUACCCGAAGCCGGUGGCUUAACCGCAAGGAGAGAGCCGUCUAAGGUAGGACAGAUGAUUGGGGUGAAGUCGUAACAAGGUAUCCCUA